UACAGAGGUCUCAAGCGUUGUUCGGAUUCAUUGGGCGUAAAGGGCGCGUAGGCGGCGCGAGCAGUCGAUCGUGAAAGUCCGGAGCUCAACUCCGGAUCGGCGGUCGAUACUCUCGUGCUUGAGCACUGUAGAGGCAGAUGGAAUUCCGGGUGUAGCGGUGGAAUGCGUAGAGAUCCGGAAGAACACCGGUGGCGAAGGCGGUCUGCUGGGCGAGUUGCUGA
rnacentral:rRNA from 1 species